CCACCUUGUGAGGACACAGCAACAAGCUGCCCUCUUGGAAGCAGAAAGCAGCUCUCACCAGACAUCAAAUCUGCCAGCACAUUGAUCUUGGACUUCCCACCCUUCAGAACUACUGUCUGCGAGGGAUGAGCCUGAGGUGUCAGCAUCUUCACAGGUCUUUUGAGCCUGCAUGCACAAAAGGGUCUACUGUCCCUGGCUGCUUGAUAAUCUCUGGGAUCCUGCAUCUGCACUUACCAUGUCAGCUGGUCCACCCAGCUUCCUAUCACACUUCAGUUCCAUAAAUGGCUGCCUACAGAGGAAAGCUUCACAUGUGCCUAAAAACUCCCUUCAGAUCGUCAUCAGCCCGUAUUCAGCCACAAGGAGGUCUUUCAAUCUGAAACUCCAGAGAUAUUAAUAUCUAUCGCUGUACAAGCCAGCCCAGUUCUGGGAAGGAAGGAAGGGAAGGGAAUGUGUGAAGACAAGAGUGAGUGGUGGGUGGGGAGGACUGUUCUGUGCAUGUUCCUAUCACUUUAGUAGCUCAUCAAAGAGAGCAAACGUCAGCACCUCUUGAUUUGGUUUUGACUCCCCCAGAUUUCUACAAUUUCAGAUUCUUGUUUUAAGUGCCAGUAAAACCUUUUCCCUUGGGGCUAGGGAACUGUGCAAAGGAAAUAAUAAUACUGGCAGAGUGAUUUGUUAGGUGUUCAAUGGUGCUAAAUCCUUAUAAGCAAAAGCUCUCCCUACCUCCACCUAUUUGUGCCCUCCCUACGCCCACAUACCAGCCAAUCUGGAAAUGAGGAAAAACACUACAAAAGAGGAAAGGCAGACUCAGCCCCUCUCUAGGGACCUUUGUGCCAGCUACAAAGGAAAGACCACUACAGAGGUAAAAAAAAAAUCUUUCUCCUGUCUUUGCCACCCACUCCCCCAAUCAUGCUCUUAAGACUUAAAGCCACAAGUCAACAGAGCUUCUCCACAUUGUUCUUUUUCCCUUUUCAUUCAGAUUCCAAAAUAAUCAGAGAAACCCCACCUUACUUUCUCACUCCACAGGAGAUGAACCAUGCAGUUUGGUAAAAUUAUUUUGCAUCCUGCAAUCAGAUUUUUAUUUCUCCUCUUUCCCUCUGAUGUAGCUUGCAUUUCUUGGACAAUAAUGGUUAGAAAGUUGCCUCAGUAACAGGCCUUGGCAUUUCUCACAAAGUCCAAAUUGGUAACUUCCACCGAAGAGCCCAGUGGCUAAUCCCAAAUGUGCUUUCUAAUUUAUGCUCUGUCUGAUCCAAAACUGCUCUGUGAAUUUCCCACUGUCAUGUUCCUGCAGUUCAGUCAGUCAUUUUGUAGAAGCACAUGAUCCUUAGGAUCCCAGCACUAUAUGGCACGGCUGCAAAAAUUAUUUUUAUCUCUGGCUGCUCUAUGAGGACUCAGAAAAGAUAUAAGAAAUAGAUGAGAAAAUAACAAAAUUGCGUUUCCAGAGGUAUAUUAGAGUGGACUGUUAUGCAAUCCCCUCCAAAAAAAAAACAAACAAACAAACAAAACCUGUAUUCACUUUAUCCACACGAUGGUGCUAGCCUCAAAAAAAUCGCCCUUCUCAGUCUUGCAAGAAGAAUGAAAACAGUUC
rnacentral:lncRNA from 1 species